UACGUAGGGUGCGAGCGUUAAUCGGAAUUACUGGGCGUAAAGGGUGCGCAGGCGGCCUCGCAAGUCAGGCGUGAAAUCCCCGAGCUUAACUUGGGAAUUGCACUUGAAACUACGAAGCUGGAGUGUGGCAGAGGGAGGUGGAAUUCCACGUGUAGCGGUGAAAUGCGUAGAUAUGUGGAGGAACACCGAUGGCGAAGGCAGCCUCCUGGGCUAACACUGACGCUCAUGCACGAAAGCGUGGGGAGCAAACAGG
rnacentral:rRNA from 1 species